CGUUUGUUGUUUUUCUAAUGCAGGUCGAGUGACAUGCGAAGGUGAUGAGGUGUAGGCUCGCGAUGGCGGCUUGCUGGUGGUCGUGGUGAUUCUGUGAGGGUGGUGAUGGUGCUACGAGUCGAAUUUGUGAUGAAGAUGACGAGGGGGCGUGAUGAUGGCGGCAACGCUGUGCUUCUGCUUCUGGAUCGUUUGACGAUUCAAUGGGGCGAAGAAGAUGCACAAGCUUUGUGCCGCUAGCUCGGUGGCAAGUGAAGAUGAUAAUAAAAUGGAUGUCGACAUCCAUCAACGGAUCUCGUAUCGAUCCUUUUAAGAGAGGUUUCUUAACAAACUUGGAUAAAAUAGGAAUAGAAAAAUAAAUUGAAGGGUAAAAAAGAAAAGGGGAGGUGGAGGGAAGAUAUGGGGAGGUGUAGGGAGAAACACUCGUGAAGAUGGAUGGGAGCUGCUAUCCGUGAUGGGUGCUGGACCUUGUGUGAGCUGCAAACGUUUGACGCUGAAAGCUACUGGUGGAUCAUGUUGUUGGCAGCACCGUGAAGCACCUCUUGGACGUUUUUUGCUGAAUGAAGCCAUCCUUCCAAGCCCAAAUUCAGCUGUCGUGUGCACCUGCUUUUUCGUAACACUAUGCUUCCAUUUG
rnacentral:lncRNA from 1 species